rnacentral:rRNA from 1 species
AGUGGGGAAUAUUGGGCAAUGGGCGAAAGCCUGACCCAGCGACGCCGCGUGGGUGAUGAAGGCCUUCGGGUUGUAAAGCCCUUUCGUGCGGAAAGAACAGCCCUGUAGUUAAUACCUGCAGGGUUUGACGGUACCGCAGGAAGAAGCACCGGCUAACUCCGUGCCAGCAGCCGCGGUAAUACGGAGGGUGCAAGCGUUGUUCGGAAUUAUUGGGCGUAAAGGGCGCGUAGGUGGUUGUGAUAGUCAGAUGUGAAAUCCUUUGGCUUAACUGAAGAACUGCAUCUGAAACUUCACAACUCGAGUACAGGAGAGGGAAACGGAAUUCCCGGUGUAGAGGUGAAAUUCGUAGAUAUCGGGAGGAACACCAGUGGCGAAGGCGGUUUCCUGGCCUGAUACUGACACUGAGGCGCGAAAGCGUGGGGAGCAAACAGGAUUAGAUACCCUGGUAGUCCACGCGGUAAACGGUGAACACUAGGUGUGGGAGGUGU